rnacentral:rRNA from 1 species
AUUGAACGCUGGCGGCAGGCCUAACACAUGCAAGUCGAGCGAGCGGCGGACGGGUGAGUAAUGUCUGGGAAACUGCCUGAUGGAGGGGGAUAACUCCUGGAAACGGUAUCUAAUACCGCAUAUCAUAUGAUGUGCCCAGGUGGGAUUAGCUAGUAGGUGGGGUAACGGUUCACCUAGGCGACGAUCCCUAGCUGGUCUGAGAGGAUGACCAGCCACACUGGAACUGAGAAACGGUCCAGACUCCUACGGGAGGCAGCAGUGGGGAAUAUUGCACAAUGGGCGCAAGCCUGAUGCAGCCAUGCCGCGUGUGUGAAGAAGGCCUUCGGGUUGUAAAGUACUUUCAGCGAGGAGGCGUUACCCGCAGAAGAAGCACCGGCUAACUCCGUGCCAGCCGCCGCGGUAAUUC